AUUGAACGCUGGCGGCAUGCCUUACACAUGCAAGUCGAACGGGGGUAGCAAUACCCUAGUGGCGAACGGGUGAGUAAUGCAUCGGAACGUACCCAGUUGUGGGGGAUAACGUAGCGAAAGUUACGCUAAUACCGCAUACGCACUGAGGUGGAAAGCGGGGGACCUUCGGGCCUCGCGCAAUUGGAGCGGCCGAUGUCGGAUUAGCUAGUUGGUGAGGUAAAAGCUCACCAAGGCGACGAUCCGUAGAUGGUCUGAGAGGACGACCAGCCACACUGGGACUGAGACACGGCCCAGACUCCUACGGGAGGCAGCAGUGGGGAAUUUUGGACAAUGGGCGAAAGCCUGAUCCAGCCAUGCCGCGUGAGUGAAGAAGGCCUUCGGGUUGUAAAGCUCUUUCGGACGGAAAGAAAUGGCUUCGGUGAAUAAUCGGAGUCGAUGACGGUACCGUAAGAAGAAGCACCGGCUAACUACGUGCCAGCAGCCGCGGUAA
rnacentral:rRNA from 1 species